UCCGGUUUAACACCGGCAGUCUCUCUAAAGUGCUCAACUUAAUGGUAGCAACUAGAGAUAAGGGUUGCGCUCGUUAUCGGACUUAACCGAACAUCCUACGACACGAGCUGACGACAGCCAUGCAGCACCUGUCUCCCCGUCCCCGAAGGGAACUCCACAUCUCUGUGGAUAGCGAGGGAUGUCAAGGCCAGGUAAGGUUCUGCGCGUUGCUUCGAAUUAAACCACAUACUCCACCGCUUGUGCGGGCCCCCGUCAAUUCCUUUGAGUUUUAGCCUUGCGACCGUACUCCCCAGGCGGGAUACUUACCGCGUUCGCUUCGGUACUCAGGGGGUUAACUCCCCGAACACCUAGUAUCCAUCGUUUACGGCGUGGACUAC
rnacentral:misc_RNA from 1 species